rnacentral:rRNA from 1 species
CCUACGGGAGGCUGCAGUGAGGAAUAUUGGUCAAUGGACGCGAGUCUGAACCAGCCAAGUAGCGUGAAGGAUGACUGCCCUAUGGGUUGUAAACUUCUUUUAUAUGGGAAUAAAAUGUUCCACGUGUGGGCUUUUGUAUGUACCCUAUGAAUAAGGAUCGGCUAACUCCGUGCCAGCAGCCGCGGUAAUACGGAGGAUCCGAGCGUUAUCCUGAUUUAUUGGGUUUAAAGGGAGCGUAGGUGGAUUGUUAAGUCAGUUGUGAAAGUUUGCGGCUCAACCGUAAAAGUGCAGUUGAAACUGGCAGUCUUGAGUACAGUAGAGGUGGGCGGAAUUCGUGGUGUAGCGGUGAAAUGCUUAGAUAUCACGAAGAACUCCGAUUGCGAAGGCAGCUCACUGGACUGCAACUGACACUGAGGCUCGAAAGUGUGGGUAUCAAACAGGAUUAGAUACCCGGGUAGUC